UUUAGUUCAGGCCUCUCAAGUCGGGCAUGUCGAGCGUAGCUAGUAACCAAGUCGAAAGUCCGACUGCAAAAGUGGAAGGUCGCAGACCUCGGACAACCGCUUAUUUGAACCCCUGCCUCCAAAUUGAAAAGAUACAAAAAUUUCGUCUUAUAAUUUAAAAUUGCCGCCAACAGCAUGAACAGUGGAACUUAUUUUAAGACUCCUGACGUAGUUGACUACGUAUUGACGACAAACAAUAUUCCUACGACGUUUGCCAUUUGGGAAAUCUAAACUACUUGUCUUUAGAGAUUUUCGGCGAUUGAAAAUUUCAUACAUUUG
rnacentral:lncRNA from 1 species